GACGAACCGUGCGAACGUUGUUCGGAAUCACUGGGCUUAAAGGGCGCGUAGGCGGACCGGCGAGUCAGGGGUGAAAGCCCGCGGCCUAACCGCGGAAGUGCCCCUGAUACCGCCGGCCUUGAGGGGGAUAGGGGCGUGCGGAACUUCGGGUGGAGCGGUGAAAUGCGUAGAUAUCCGAAGGAACACCGGUGGCGAAGGCGGCACGCUGGGUCCCUACUGACGCUGAGGCGCGAAAGCCAGGGGAGCGAACGGG
rnacentral:rRNA from 1 species